CUAACUCCGUGCCAGCAGCCGCGGUAAUACGAAGGGGGCUAGCGUUGCUCGGAAUCACUGGGCGUAAAGGGCGCGUAGGCGGCCAUUCAAGUCGGGGGUGAAAGCCUGUGGCUCAACCACAGAAUUGCCUUCGAUACUGUUUGGCUUGAGUUUGGUAGAGGUUGGUGGAACUGCGAGUGUAGAGGUGAAAUUCGUAGAUAUUCGCAAGAACACCAGUGGCGAAGGCGGCCGACUGGACCAUUUCUGACGCUGAGGCGCGAAAGCGUGGGGAGCAAAC
rnacentral:rRNA from 13 species